rnacentral:rRNA from 1 species
GAUGAACGCUAGCUACAGGCUUAACACAUGCAAGUCGAGGGGAAACGGCAUUUAGUGCUUGCACCGAAUGGACGUCGACCGGCGCACGGGUGAGUAACGCGUAUCCAACCUACCCAUUACUGUGGGAUAACCUGCCGAAAGGUAGACUAAUACCGCAUAGUCUUCGAUGACGGCAUCAGAUUUGAAGUAAAGAUUUAUCGGUAAUGGAUGGGGAUGCGUCUGAUUAGCUUGUUGGCGGGGUAACGGCCCACCAAGGCUACGAUCAGUAGGGGUUCUGAGAGGAAGGUCCCCCACAUUGGAACUGAGACACGGUCCAAACUCCUACGGGAGGCAGCAGUGAGGAAUAUUGGUCAAUGGACGGAAGUCUGAACCAGCCAAGUAGCGUGCAGGAUGACGGCCCUAUGGGUUGUAAACUGCUUUUGUAUGGGGAUAAAGUUAGGGACGUGUCCCUAUUUGCAGGUACCAUACGAAUAAGGACCGGCUAAUUCCGUGCCAGCAGCCGCGGUAAUACGGAAGGUCCAGGCGUUAUCCGGAUUUAUUGGGUUUAAAGGGAGCGUAGGCUGGAGAUUAAGUGUGUUGUGAAAUGUAGACGCUCAACGUCUGAAUUGCAGCGCAUACUGGUUUCCUUGAGUACGCACAACGUUGGCGGAAUUCGUCGUGUAGCGGUGAAAUGCUUAGAUAUGACGAAGAACUCCGAUUGCGAAGGCAGCUGACGGGAGCGCAACUGACGCUUAAGCUCGAAGGUGCGGGUAUCAAACAGG